GUAAUCAAAUUGCUUUAUCCUCCACUUCUGAUAUAGUCUGCCUUUAGCAAGAAUCCCCCUACCCAUCCUGUUUCCUCUUAGUAAUUUUCCAUCCACUAACUCCCCUCACUUUGCUCGUUUGUUGGCUGUGAAUUCCCAGCUGUCUUGGCUGUAUUUAGAGUUGAGCACAAUUUCUCUCCUAUUGCAAGAGUUAUGACCCCCUCCUGCAAUAGUCUUGAAUAAUGUCUUCCUCACCCUUUUAACAAGCGGCAGAGUAAUCUUUCUUUAACAGCAGUGAGUAAUCCUCUCACCCCAGGUUCCUGGAAGACCAUACUGAAGGUUUAGUAAUCUCAGUGUCCUGAUCUGUAAAAUUGAAAUGUUGAUAAUCCCUGCUCUCUGUUCUAGUGAAGAAGUGGCAAAGCCCGGAAAAGAUAAUAUGAAAGUGUCUUCUAAAAGGUUACACUCUCUACAGAUGUUAGCGACUUAAACAGUGAAGAGAUAACGUUACCCUCAAGGAGUCUAAAGAUAGAGCCUCAAG
rnacentral:lncRNA from 1 species